CGAAAUUUGUUGAAAGUUGUGUCCGUGAUAAGUGCUGCGUAGGCUAGAAUUAAGGAUUUGUUGUUCAAAAGAUUAAGAAUUUCAAUGCAAAUCGUUAAAGCAAAAGUUAUCUUGAUAUAUAGAAAUUCAUUGCGAAACUUUUCUACGUGUGACAAGAAGGAGCAGAACAUAACCUAAAUUUGCGAUUGACGUUUUAUCUUUUCUUACAAUUAUUAUAUUAAAUACAGUUGUACGGGAUGGAUAAAUCGAUCUUAAUGCAAAAGCAGGUGAAGGAUAAUGCAGAAGAUCUACAGAAAGAAUUUCUUGAUAUGAAAAAUUGGGAGGAACAAAUGAGAUGUAAAGAUGAGCAAUUACGGAAAGAAAAAACUGGUCAGAUUACUUUACCGCCAAUUAGAAGUAAACAUAAAAAUAAAACCAAAAAUCCCCCUACAAAGAAAGAUCAAGGUGAUAAUAAAUCAAAAAGGAUUAAAUCACACGAUUAUUCUGCUUGGGAGAAAUUUGAUGUAGAUAAAGAAUGCAGAAAAAUAGAUAAUAACGAGCAAUCAGAUGAUUCUGAAGAUGAACAUAUGUCUAAAGAAGAAUUAGAGAAAGCACAUGAAAAAGCAACAAAACAUAAAAGCGAAGGCAAUAUUUUGGUGCAACAACAGAAAUGGUCUGAAGCAGUUGGCUGUUAUACAAAGGCUAUAAAACUAUUUCCAUAUGAUGCAGUAUUUUACGCAAAUCGUGCACUCUGUCAGUUAAAACUAGACAAUUUUUAUUCUGCUGAAUCUGAUUGUUCAACUGCACUUCAAUUAGAUGGGAGUUAUGUAAAAGCUUAUCACAGAAGAGCAACAGCUAGAAUGAAUCUAAAGCAAUAUAAAGAAGCUAAACACGAUUUAGAAAAAGUUUUGAAAUUAGAACCUUCUAAUAAGGAAGCCAAAUUGUUGAUAAAUCAAAUUGAAAGCAAGAUUAAAUGUUCAGAGACAAGUACUAUAGCGAAGGAAGGUACAAAAAUGUCAACAAUUGAGAAAAAAGAUAUUAAAAAGACUACGAUUGAAAAGAAGAUUUCUGAAAAAACGUGGGACGAUACUGCAUCAAAUGUACAAACAACAAAAACCAAGAAUAUAAUAAACGCUAAAAAUAUGGAGAAGAGCAAAGAUAAUAAAAGUGUUGUAAAUAUUAAAGAUAGUACAGAGAAUAAAAAAGAUAAUGUGAUUGAUACUAAUGCGAAAAGGGAUCCACGUAUUCCAGAUUGGUUACCAGAGAAAGAUGAAGUCGUUGUAAUAGAACCGAUAGAGAAGCCUCCUCAUUUACGUUCAAAGAAAUCAUUGACGAAAAUACCUAUCCAAGAAGUGGAAUUUGGUAUCGAUCGGUAUAAGUAUACUAACGGCAAAACAGCAUAUAGCAGAGAUGAUCCUGUACAAACAAAAGAACCUCAUAAAGAUCCCGUGCAGAAAAUGGAACCGCAUAAUGUUGCGAAAGAUAAUACUUGUAUCAAAGUUUCUGAACCUCUGGAUGAUAUUAGUGGUAUUGUACCUGCAAUUCCCAAAACAGCCGUACAGUUUUUAAUGAAUUGGAAAAGAAAUAAUUCACCAGAAUUUAGAUACAAGUAUCUGAAGCAAUUAUCAGAGGGUAGUUUACCUAGAAUAUUUCAAGAUUCAAUGGAAUCGGAUAUUUUUAGCCAAAUAAUAGAAGUUUUGAGAACGAAAUUCGUAGGAAGGAAAAAUCAGAUAUUCUACUACUUAAGAGAUCUCAGUCGAGUUAAGCGAUUUAGAGCACUCAUCAUGUUUACUAGUAACAGUGACAAAGAAACCAGAAACACGAGCAAAAGAUACGUUACUGCUGAGACGAUAUCGUGAAGAAAUCGAAACGGUGGUUUUCUUAGUAAUUUUUCGGUUUUACAUCGUCCGCCAUUGUUAAUCACAAAUAAAACAUAUCACUGGUUACACUGCCUUUCUCACAACCUUGCUGAAGCUUUGUGUGCAUCAAAUGGUUACUUGGCAACCAAUAUAAGUAUAAGAGAAUGGAAAAAAAUAAAUAUCGAUAUAAAUACAACUACUCGGAUCAAAAACGAUCAUUCAGAGAAUUAAUCUUAUACCACUGAACGAAUUCUUCUCUUCUUCGUCUUUAAAAUGCCGUUGGCAUCUGCUCAACUUCCUGUUAUCAUUCAGGCUAAUAACUGGACGACGAUGAGUGGAUGGAGGAGAAGAGCGGACUACGAAACCUGGAUACUGGUGUGCAAUCGUAUAGUGGAAAGGGAAUCGGAUAAAUCAACGGACGUCGAGGCGUUAGCGUUUUAUAGUGCAUUAAUUAGUCCGUGAUGAGGAGGCGGAUAAAAAGUUUUUACAACGUUAUAAAUGCAAAAGGUGGAUAGGAUCGUUGGUAAGACUCGUGGGACGCGAUUCGCCAUUUAAUUUCACCUUCUUUUUACGCUGACCAUCGUCCGUGUCGUAUUUUACAAGGCUUCGCGGAUCAGGCCGAAAUUACACCGAGGCCAGAACAGCGACAGACCAACACGACCGCCGGCCAAAUUAUUAUUACGGCAAAAACCGAGCAGGAAGUUGCGUUCUUAUCUUUCGUAAAAAUCUCGGGGCGAAACGCGAAACGCGAAAUUGCGCGAAUAAAUGUCGGAUUCCCCGCUGGUCUCUUGUCUCCGCGACGAUGGCGCGAACGUGCAAAGUUAUCGAGCAUGAAGAUCGUCCGACGGAGGUUCCACCGAUCCAAGAAAAAAGGCCGUAACAUUCGAUAUUCGAACGGUCGUGCCACUUUUUUCCGUCCAGCGAUCUUUUUUUUUUCUGCGGAGAGAAACGAGUCCCGUCCAGUGAUUGUUUUAGAUACUUGUUUUUUAAUCUCUUGAUUUACGACCUUCCUUCUAAGUAGUUACUUAAGAGGUUGUUAUAAUUAAUCGUCACUGUAAUAUAUACGACGAUCGGACUGUGAAUGAAACAUAUAAAAUAUCCACGUUUCCUAUUCCACAUUUCUAUCGAGCAUCGUAACUCGAAAACUGGAAAAUCAUUUUCUGCGUACAUUCCAUUUUCUUAAUCGUACAUAAAACUCCGUCGUCAAUGGAGAACGAUCAUUUGUUAACUAGCCAAUAACGAUUAAACGUAUAAUCGGUACCUUGCAUUGCUAAAGGCUGAAAAAGCUCGAUCAACCGACUAAAGAGCAGCUUUUUCUCGCACGAUCGCCGGAAUCGCCGAUCUUUCUCGUUUCGCUAGAAGAUGAAAAAGAAAAAAGAAAAAAAAUGGUGAAUCGCUAUACGUAUAAGUUUAAUCGCUGGGUAUAGCGGUCGAAGAGGAAAAUCUCGGACGAGGAAUCGAAGACGGUCGAUAAGACCAGGGAAAGAACGAAGCGGGACUAAUCGUAAGAGAGAAAGGAGAAGGAAGAAGAAGAGGACGAGCAAGACAAAAAAAAAAAAAAAAAAAAAUAAAAUAAAAAAAAAAUAAAAAAAGAUAUGCGAAAUAGCGUAUCGAUGCAUACCGACACGUAAGACCGUGUGUAGGCCAUAAACUAGCGGGGGUAGAAAGAUAUUUAUGCGACGGCUGGCGAGCAUAGAAGAGCGAAGAAGGAUUAUAUCUUCGGAUACGUAAUAACGGUUAGCUUGGAAUUAGCGAACUAAUGCGGGCAAGCGCGUCGAUCGGUAUCGCGUUUGCCAUUUAGGCCCUAACCAAACUAUACACCUGCCCUACCUGUAAUCACGAUCCAUCUACGCUAACAGAUUUUUUCUCUCCUUCCUUCUCCAUAUUUCCCUCUUCUUUGCGCACGAGGGACACGCGAUGCGACGAUCUCUCUUUUUCGCUCUGCAGUCGAUCCUAAAUCGCAUGUAUUCGUAAUUGAAAUGUACGAGCGAUACUUACGCCCUUCGUAUGGCUCUCUUUAAAGCCGCGUUAACAGCUAAUCGGCUGGUUAAUGGCUGAUAAGAUUUUCACCCGACUCACUGGAUAAUUCGUAAUGCGUUUAUACGAAGAUGCCGAGGGUCGAACGAGGACGAGAGGACGGUUUUACGAUUGAAUCAUCGAUUUUACGAUGAACAAUUUGCUAGCUAUUAGGCACUAGGUGUAUGGCUGGUUGGCAUUAUAUCCGUUAAACAUAGAUUAUGAUACGUACAUUUUUGGAAAUAAGUGGCGACAAGUAGAUAAGUAGAUAUUUAUGGAUUUAUGGAUUUACAUGGGCGAAAGUGUCCAGAAUGUGUGAAAGUUACGGUACUUAUAUAAUAAACGAAACGAGUUUCCGUUUAAGUUUCAUUCUUUUAAUCGUAUUCAUAGGAAUAUGAGAUGUGAGCGAGGAACGUUGAAAUUAAGGAGAAUUCUUGAAUUAUCAAAUCUCUAAAAUGAAAGUAUCCUUCGCGAAAAGAAAUUCGUAUUUCGUUUUACUUUCAAAGAGUUCUUAUUACCUUACGAUAGAAGUUAAAAGUCGCAUUUUUUAAAUCCUAUUCCGCUCUACCCACGCCAUCGUUCUACCACGCGUUCUAAUUAUAUCGAUCGCUAAUGUGGCAGGCAUUUUUUGACGCAAAGAUCCGCGUUCGAUCGUAAAUCAUUCUGCCUCGAUCAAAUAAAGUCUCAGUUCGGAUACUUAAACGUUUAAUUGCUCGAGUAAUUAAGGCGAUACAACGUAUGCGUCGAUGAUAGCUAAAUCGUUAAAAGGAAUGAAAAAGCAAUCCUCCCUUCGUUUCAACUGCAAUCUCGAUACCGCAGCUUGUUUAGAAGUCUUACAAGUCGUGUUAAUAAUCUACUUAAACGUUGAACGAGGGAAACGAGGAGAAGGAACGACGGCAAGUGGAACCCGAGAGGCAAAAAGCACGGCGGACAGUGCGAUAUAAUUAAACUCGUUUAAUAACAGGUCUAUAGAUCUCGCCUCUCGAUUCGCCGUAUAAAAUUCUUCGUUAAUUACUGUCAAACUGGCUUCUAAAUCGUAAUUUAGCCGACGCCUCGAGCGUCCGAUCGCUCGUGGAAGGAAUCAAGGAGGAGCAGCAGAAGAAGAAAGAAGGAGCAAGCGCGAAAGAAACGACGCGAGCGCGCGUGCACGCGCAAAGAGAAUAAGAAAGGAGCGAUUUUAAUUUUGACCAGCGAACGACUCGUCUUCUGAUCUCGCCGACGGUAGCUGACCUCGUAAUAAACGUUCGAGAAAAGAUAACGAGAGGCUGGCAUAAAUGUCAUCGUAUAUAUCUGAAACAGCCGAUAUUCAUAGCGCCGAUACGUCAGUUUUGCCAAGACUCGUUCGGUCGAUGGCUGAUUCGCUGACGUUCCGAAUCUGUAUUUCUGUCGUUUCGCGUUAUACGUAUAUGACUAUCGUGCGACGAUUUCGUUUCGAUCGUGCGCUCGCGUUUCUCUAUCGUUCAGAGACGCUUUAAGUUUGCGCAAGGUACGAGAAAGUCGUUGUUGAACAAAUUUAUAUUAAAAAAGGAGUUACGUUAAUUACUUUAAAGAAUAAAUUGCGGCGAUAAAAAUGCGCUGCAAGGACAACGAAGAAGCGGAUAAAGCAAAAAAAAAAAAACGAAAUCACAGUGUAAGGACGUUAAAAAAGAAAUUUUAGCAACAAUAAAACAGCGCAAGGACAACGGGCGAGUAAUAUCGGUAAUUAUAAAAAGUGGUACAAGGGCGUUAAAAAACAGAUGCAGCAAUAAAUAAAGUUAGCGCAAGAAUACCGAAAGGAGGACGGACAAUGAGAAUAAAAGUAAAAUUCAAGAUACCAGCGAUAGAACCAAAGGCUAACGAAGCUGAAGAAAACGACGGAUAAUUUCCAACAUACCUAUAUAUACCACGAUAGAUAGAUAAUUCCAAGCAGAGGUGGAAAUAGAAAUUGAACAUGGCGAAAUCGAAAUUUUAACACCGCGAUAUCGACCACCAUAGAAACCUCGGAAGGAGUUAAAUCGACGGAAAGUUCGUAAAGAACGAAAUUGCAAUUUUCUUCGUAUCUUUUCUUCCUUUAAAAGAUCGCUAGCUACGGCGUCGAGAAAUCGUAUAAGCUAGAAAGCUCUGUAUGGUAAUUGCUACAAAUAUAAUUCCCCAUAUUCUCGUGUA